rnacentral:lncRNA from 1 species
CUCCCUUCUCUUUAAAAUCUCUAACAUGAUAGGGUAUUUAUAAUACUCCUAUCCUACUCCUACUAAACUAAUAAAAUAAAUAACCAAAUCCUAAUAUACUAAUGAAAUCCUUGACCCAAUUGUACUAGGGUAAGGUUACAAAAUUAUAAUCCAAAUAGAAUGAUGAAACACAUAACCUAAUUGCACUAGGUUAAUGUAUUAUGGCAAAAAUCCAG